ACCGGCUGACGAGUCCCAAAUAGGACGAAACGCUCUUCCUAGAU
rnacentral:hammerhead_ribozyme from 1 species